rnacentral:lncRNA from 1 species
UUCCACGGAGACAAGAAAUCAUUAAAUGUUGCUUCUUUAGAACAAAUUCUUCUUUUUAACAUGGCAAUUUACCUCCUCUCCUCUUAAUAUGCCGUGACAUUAGAUAUUAAAAACCCCUCAAAACCAUAGAUAAUAGUAAAAUAUUCAAAGCUUCCCAGAGCCCUGCCCGAAGGUUGUUAAAACUUUAAAUUUCAGUAAAUAAACAAGAGACCCAUGUGCAAAUUUCUAAGCACAGUAGGUGCCCCUCAUUUCUGGUACUCUGUUCAUCUAACACAGCUGAACUCAGUCAUUUCAGUUCCUAGUCAGGGGUUACCGCUGUUGUGUUAGUUCUCACAACUUUGUGUUAUAUAUAUAUAUUUAUAUGUGUGUGUGUGUGUAUAUAUAUAUAUAUUAAAGAUCCCAGGGAGAAUGCCAGAGAGAAUGUGGCAUUCUCUUUGUUUCUUUUACCCCAAGGUCACAGUAUCACGGAGACAUGGUCAAAAAAAUCAUUCCACCGUACAAUGGGCAUUUUCUAUUCUGUUUCUGAUAGUCACUACCUAAAGUCCAAGUAUCACUCAAUUUAAGUAUAAAUUUUCCCAGAAAUUAUAGAGUUCCAUCAGUUUUGUCUUCUGAUUCUUAGUAGUGGUGACAGUUCCCUGUGAUUUUGAUAAUAUAAAGUAUUCUUUAUUGGAUCAUGAUUCCAUUUUCCAGUACAUGCUAGACUUUUCUCCCAAAAGAACUUGUAGUUGCUGCUGAUGGAGGGCAGGGGGCGCAACCAAGCUGGGCUCAGUUUGGUCCACCUCCUGAUACUGGCUCUCCAACCUUGGAUAUUACCUUAGUCUUCUCUCUGCUGUGCCUGUGGCAUUUAUCCCUAGAGUAAUACCACUCACCACGUUUCCUGUUCUUUAUUCUGAUUUUACUGUCCCUACUGAAGAUCAACCACAGGCUUUUUACUUCCCAAGCAAGGACUGUACCACUGAGAUAUACAUCUUGAAUCUCCUAGGUCUCUUAUUUUGGUUUUAUGCUUUGUAGUGGAGGACUUUUGUUUGUUUGUUUGUUUGUUUUUGUUGUUGUUAAGGACUUAUUUAUUUUUUGUAUUUGAGUACACUGUCACUGUCUUCAGACACGGAGGGAUCUCUGGAUGGUUGUGAGCCACCAUAUGGUUGGUAGGAAUUGAACUCAAGACCUCUGGAAGAGCAGUCAGUGCUCUUAACCACGGAGCCAUCUCUGCAGCCCUUGAGGAGGUUUUUUUUGAAGACUCCUUUCUCCAAGAUCGGAAGACAGUCUAUUGAUAGUGUAAAGAUCCACAAUUUACCUGGCAUUUGGUCAGCAGGCUAAGUCUAUACACAGCAUCCCGAGGGACGGAAGAAUUGGGAUUCUACAGAUCCCAGGAGUUCCCAGAGCGGCCUUCCCCCUUAGCUUAUGACUAUAUACCAAGCUAAAUGAAUUUAAGGAGGAUGUUUUAAACUAUACAUCACAAAAUGUACACAUGGUCUAAACACAGUCUUCCAGAGCCAGAUGUGAUGGUCCAUGCCUGCCAUUCCAGCGCUCAAGAGGCUGGGACAGAAGUAUUGCAGGUGCAAAGCCAGCCUGAGCUACAUAGAACCUAUCC